rnacentral:rRNA from 1 species
AUGAAAGUAUUAAGUUGGAACUGCCACGGGAUAGGCGAUCCCGCGACAGUUCGAGAGCUCCGCGAUCUUGUGGAGAUUAGUUCGCCAGCUAUUUUAUGCUUAAUAGAAACUCAGUUACAAAAAAGUCGUGUUGAAGGUCUUCGUUCUUCUUUAGGGUUUGAUUUUAGUUUUGGAGUCGGAAGUAGCGGCCGCAGUGGCGGUCUUUGUAUCUUUUGGAAAAAUUCCUUG